GAGCCGGCCUGAAGGCUGGAAGGAUGGAGGGAGGCACCUGGAGGAGGAUGGAAGGCACCAACCAGUACUGGUGGUGAUGGUGGAUGGGUCUUGGAGCCCAGACUUUUGCUGCUGCAGCAGUAUGAAAAUGAUGUUUCACCCCGCCCUAUACUUCCUUUCAUUCCGUCCACUGACCUUCUACCAGUUGUUUGGUUUUUUUCUUCUCUGCUUGCGUUUUUCUUUAGAAAAAAGAAAGCAGAUCGAUUCUGGGUAGAAAGGAAGGCUUGAGGUGAAGAUGAGGAAGUGAGCAGUACAAAGGCACGGCAGGCAGGCGGGGAAGGCACAGCGGCCUUGGUGAAGAUUUUAAACUUGGAUUUGAGGCACAGUAAGCAUGUGGAUGCUAUACACAAAAAACCUCAAAAAGUCAGAUGACCGUUGAGUUAUGAAGUGGAAAGACCUACUGCCACUACUGCCUAUGCUGAACAAAUGGACAACGAGGGAGUAUCUCAGGGCUGCAACUCUUUGGGAUGGAGCAAGUCAAUCCACAACUCGAUUGGUGGGCCUUGGAAGCAUGGACACUGGGCAAAGGAGAUUGUCUCCUUGGUACUCUCCAAUGAACCAGAUACUGCUAAAAGCCUAGUCUUACUCUCUGUUUUGAGUGACAGUAUUGGAGGAGUAGAAAAGCAGCAACAAAUUGGAUACAUCAUACUUCAGGUAACUAGGCAGGAGGUCCAGAAUUUUAUUUUCAGCUGCCAGGUUCAAGAUCCUGGACAAAGGCUCUGGCAGGGUACACCCAUUCUGCAGUGCCACAGUAACAAGUACAAAGUCCUCUUCCUGGUACCAAGGAAGGUCACCUUCCUCACCUAAGUCUCAUAGCAGUUGUUCAGUGAUCAGGUAAAUUCAGGAGUGCUUUGAUCAUAGCAUAGAUAGGCAAGCAAUUCCUGUGUUUCUGUGUAUUUCCCAUCUUGGCACCCCAAAGUUAUUACCAGACUGACAGCUAUUCGAGAUCUUCCUUUCCUUUGCCUCCUUUUCCAAAUAAUCUGGUAUUUCUGCUCUGGAUAUGGCUAUAAACUCACUCAAAAGCAAACAAGGUAAAAUCAUUUAAAAAAAAAUAGUCUUUAAUGAAAAUCAGUUUUCCAUUUAACAAACUUUGAAUUCUGCAUUUUUUUUUUGUUGCUGUAAAUCGUAAGCCAGCAUGUAUGUGUGAAUGUUGUCAUAUAUUUAAGUACUGAGUCUGAUACUCAGACACUCAUCCCUCAUUCAGUUUUUCAGACUGCAAAUCAUUUGGGACAAGAAAACUUAUUUGUUUAUGCAGUGUGGAACACAAUGGACCUUCUAUACUCCAAACUCAUCUAAACAUGACACAAUGACUUAAAAUAGAAUCUAGCUUUAAAUUUAUGAUCUUGCAUUGUAAUAUAUGGGAAAUAAAUUUGAAUGCUGGAGCUUUUUUCAUACGAAAAGUUCAGAAAAUUUGGGCUGUACUAAUACAGAACAAAACCAGUUUGAAACCUUGAAAGUGACUGCGAAAAAGAAUUUCUCUCCUGUGCACUCCAGAAAGGAACUGAUUCUUGGCUUAGGUGAUUUCAAACAUAUAGGUGUAUUUCCUCAUGACAAGGACACCUGCAGGGAGAAGAUAAUCACUAAAAAAUUGGUUUGAAGGUUCUACCUACUCAGAAAUGUUCACAAAACAAUGUUUAUUUAAAUAAUAUCAAUCCACAAGCAGAAAAGUGAAAUCCAUCCAUUUCAAAAAUAUGGGAAGCUUAGACUUCAUUAGCGGUUACGAAUUGUUUUACAUCAGGCCUAAUUAAGCCUGAAAACAGAAUAAAAACCAUUACUCAGAAAGUGUUUAUUGGCCAAAAAUUUCAAACAGAGAUGUAUAUUCUUUUCCUCCAAAACCCACUGAUACUUAAACACAUGUAGAGGCAGAGAAAAACCCCUAUGCCAUGGCUGUGCAUUUAGGUAGCAAUAAGAAGUGGAGAUAAUUGAAUCCAUUACCAGACGAUCACUGCUAUAAUGGAGGUGGCAAAAUACAAGACAUUUUCAGGUAUUAAUGAGCAUGGAGAGAAAGAGUGUCUUUUAAAGAGGGAGGAGAAGAACCAUCAGCAAAAGAUAAAAGCAGUAAUGUGGACUCGAUAUUUACUCACUGAAGUUUGUCACCUAAAACAUGUAUUUCAUUAAAGCUCUAUUUUAGUGGAAUACUUCUCCUCAAGUCCAGCAAUUUUAAACUUUUAUGAAAAAUCUCAGAGUGCAUCUAAAUUAAUAUUUCAUUUCGCUUUGGAUUAUUAUCUUUUUCCUGCUUUAACAACUUGUUAGGAAUAUUUCAUUAUGUUCAAAGUUCAGGCCAACAUCACAUGUUCCUCUGCAUGUCUUAGCCUGGCUGAAAGAGCUUUUUGUCUUUACAUUUUUUUCUCCUGCCAAGUGAUUAAUUCAGUUUAGCCAUUUGCUCCUCCUUUCUGUAACUGAAGGUUUGUUUAUAUUUGGCUGGCGCUGUGCAUUUUGGUAGCUAGAAUAAACUGGUUUCUAAUAGAGCUCCAUUAGUACCAGCAGAAAACCAGAUGGAUGCCUAUUCGUCCUGUCUCAUCCUCCUCUCUUUCAUUCUCUUUUCUCUACUUAUUACACAGUUUCUUUUUCAAAGACCUAUCUUGAUGUUCAACCCCUUUUCUAACUUGGUCCAUGAAAUUCAGAAAAAGUUCAGAUCUGCUAACUGCAGGAUACUAAAAGCAUGUUGAGAAAUGAUGCCCAAAAUGUUACUAGAAUUAAAUUUACAGGUUUAAGGAGGUUAAAGGGAGGGCCUUAAAUCUGAGCCUAGAAAAAAAAAAACCACCAUGUCAUCCUGAAGUUUUGACACUAGUUUAACAUUAUAGAAAUUCUACUUUAUAGCUUUCCCUUUUAGGAAACAUAUUUAGAUACUAAAGGUGCUAAUGAGCUAUACAGCUACUACAUACACACAGGUAUAGGGUACUACAAAGUUUCCCUUUAGUAACAGAAUUUCAGGAUCAAGAAAUGUAUUCUUUAGACAUCUACUUCAAACUAUUUCAAGCACUGAAGAGCAAUCAAAAGGAAAUUAUGAAUCUGCUGUCCUCCUCCUUCUUGUUAUUGCUGUUACUUAGCAGAAUUUCAUGAAUUGUAAAGGUGGUUGAAGGGAGAAGGAUGCAUCAUGUGAAAAUACAGAUAAAGUAAAUCUUGCAGUAGAGAACUUAUAACCUAAUUACAAAGCAUGCACCCUUGGAUCAGAGAAGCAGCACACUUUUCUUCCUCAUGACUUUAGGCUGAUUUGCAUAUUGCCCCAUGACUCACGGCCGCGCAGCGGCCUGUGUGAAGAUCAGCGUGCCCACAGUCACCCACGGCAUGAAACCUGCAGGCAAUUGUACCGAGCAGGAGUGGGGCAAUUGUUGUGACUCGCCUGCCUCCAGCAGUGAGUCUGCGGUUGUAGGCUGUGCCUCUGUUUACACACAGGUUCAUACACACACACACAGAGGCCUGCACCCCUUCUCUUACUCGGAGAGGUUUCCAUACCAAGAUGAUGAUAGUAAAUACGAAAAACAAACAUCAAUAUACAACCUAAUGUGUGCCCCUUCUAGCCCAUUUACAACAUGCCAGCACUCACUCGGAGUAGUUUUGUUUAGCAGUGAAGGGAAACAAUUGAAGAGAAACCUCAAAGCAUAAUUAAGAAAUAACAUAGACUUUUUCUUUAGUUAUCGUUGACAUAUUUUCUUCACAAGUCUCCAUUCAACUUUAAUGAAGCUUUGCUUUGAGCUCCUGAAACUGGAACAGUGGGGUUUUUUCUUCUCGUACUACAAAAUUUACCUUGCAGAUUAAAAAAAAAGAAAAAACAGAAAAGAAGUCAUAGAGCUAUAAUCAGCGGAUCAUAGAGUGAAAGGAUUAUGAGUUUUAUACUGGCUAAAAAAAAAUCUUUGAAUUCAUUAUCUUUUUAUGAGUUUCACAUACAUAUGAAAUAUCAAAUUAAUAGGGCCUU